ACCCUCUACUAGCAAGUCCUAGAAACCCGUAUAAGGCUUAUAUGUACAGUUUUGUGCUCUUUGGUCAACAUAGAUUCCAAUUACAUAGUGACUUACACAAAUGGCUCCAUUUGGAGCUCUUUUCUCAAGAGAAUAUUCAGUGCCUUAUAAACUAGCCAUCCCUUAUGCUUCAAAUAUAAACAAUCUUGGUGCACAUCUGAUUUUAAUCCAAGUGUUUUCAAAGGCCAUUCUCCUCUAGUUGUUAUCUCUCCUCUUAUUUCAUAACAACUGCAAAACUCCUACCACAGAAGGCACUUUUGUGGGAAUAUAUAAUUGUUGAGAAUGCAGUGAUUUUAAUUAUCGGUUGUUUCAUCAUAAUCUAGCUGAAAACUUAGAUGAACAGACAACAUACAUCUUCUUUCUUUCUUUCUUCCUUUCUUUCUUUUUUUUGUAUUCUUCAGUGGUUUUCAAACUUAGGUGAGAAUUACUUCUGCUUUAGGUGGGGAGUCAAAGGCUGCUCCUACAUUGGGCAGUGAAUUUAUGAUGACAGGUUUCCUACUCAGCCAUCAAUUUCCUACAUAGCCCCUCCCCACUGAAGAGAGGAUUGAGUCCCAUCCCAGCAUGGCAGCGAGCUUUUAGGGAGAGCAAAGCUCCAGCAUGUACGUGCUUGUCAAGCCUCUGCUUGCAUCAUGCUUGCUAAUAUAACCACAGCAAAUCACUUACGAAAGUCUCCAAGUCGGCAUGAAAUUUUAUAGGUACAAUGAACCAUGACCCGUUGGAAGUCAUUGCCAUCCCUGUGAGCUCAUCAUAUUAGGCUGAGAUGUCCAAUGUGAGGAAUGAUAACUAUAAACUGAAGAAGCACUUACUGUUAUUGUCUGUUUUGUAGCUGAGAACAUGCAUCACUGGGGUUAGUGAUACAUGUUUUCAACAGCAUCUUUGAAUAACCAACAGUGCACAGAUAACAAAGAGCAGACUGUGGUUUGAAUCUGGUCCUUUACAGUUGAAAGACACUGUUGAUCCCCCAGGACAAAUUGGCAAAAUAUCUGUCUCAUACUUCAUACUUCUAGAAAGUUCUCUGAAACAGUAUUGGUAUUUGUAUAGGUUUUUUUUGUUGUUGUUUUUGUUUUUUAACUUUUAAUAAGGGGCUGCUGUGAUGUUUGAAAUUGAAGAGUGUGAGUCGUAUUUGUUAUAAUGUUAUUCUACUGACACAAGGUCUUAUACAGAUUAUACCCCCCCCCAUUGUCCAGAUUGAUUUAAUAUGGCAGAACGCCAGCCAGAAUUGCAUUCAAUUUUUGAUUUUUACACUUUUGAUAAGUCCUAUUAUGUGAGUCCUGCUAUCUUGAUUGGUAAGCAUGUCUAGUGAACAACAACAAC
rnacentral:lncRNA from 1 species